rnacentral:rRNA from 1 species
CCUACGGGGGGCAGCAGUGAGGAAUAUUGGUCAAUGGGCGCGAGCCUGAACCAGCCAAGUCGCGUGAGGGAUGACGGCCCUACGGGUUGUAAACCUCUUUUGUCGGGGAGCAAAUUCCGUUACGUGUAACGGAGUCGAGAGUACCCGAAGAAAAAGCAUCGGCUAACUCCGUGCCAGCAGCCGCGGUAAUACGGAGGAUGCGAGCGUUAUCCGGAUUUAUUGGGUUUAAAGGGUGCGUAGGCGGACUGUCAAGUCAGCGGUAAAAUACGGGGGCUCAACCUCCGCCCGCCGUUGAAACUGACGGUCUUGAGUGGGCGAGAAGUAUGCGGAAUGCGUGGUGUAGCGGUGAAAUGCAUAGAUAUCACGCAGAACUCCGAUUGCGAAGGCAGCAUACCGGCGCCCAACUGACGCUGAAGCACGAAAGCGUGGGUAUCGAACAGGA